rnacentral:rRNA from 1 species
GACGAACGCUGGCGGCGUGCUUAACACAUGCAAGUCGAACGCUGAAGCUCAGCUUUUGUUGGGUGGAUGAGUGGCGAACGGGUGAGUAACACGUGAGUAACCUGCCCCCUUCUUUGGGAUAACGCCCGGAAACGGGUGCUAAUACUGGAUAUUCACUGGUCUUCGCAUGGGGGUUGGUGGAAAGGGUUUUUCUGGUGGGGGAUGGGCUCGCGGCCUAUCAGCUUGUUGGUGGGGUGAUGGCCUACCAAGGCUUUGACGGGUAGCCGGCCUGAGAGGGUGACCGGUCACAUUGGGACUGAGAUACGGCCCAGACUCCUACGGGAGGCAGCAGUGGGGAAUAUUGCACAAUGGGCGGAAGCCUGAUGCAGCGACGCCGCGUGAGGGAUGGAGGCCUUCGGGUUGUGAACCUCUUUCGCUCAUGGUCAAGCCGCAACAAUGGUUGUGGUGAGGGUAGUGGGUAAAGAAGCGCCGGCUAACUACGUG